rnacentral:misc_RNA from 1 species
AACGCACAUUGCGCCCUCUGGUAUUCCGGGGGGCAUGCCUGUUCGAGCGUCAUUACACCACUCAAGCCCGGCUUGGUCUUGGGGCCCACCCCUGCGAGGUGCCCCCGAAAAUCAGCGGCGAGCUGGUCGGAUUCCACGAAGCGCAGUGACUUGAUCUCGCUCCACGGAACCGGUCGUCUCCGACGGACAACCACCCAAUUUUUACAGGUUGACCUCGGAUCAGGUAGGGAUACCCGCUGAACUUAA